CCUAACCCAUCUUCUUCCUCUUCUCUCUUUUUCUCGUUCUCUUCCUUCCUCCCGUUUUCCCCUUUCUCUUUCUCGCUCUCUUCUCUCCCUGGCGCACGAGCGCUGCGCUCCCAGGGCGCAUCGCCGCCGCUUCCUCCUCUCCCCCCCUUCCUUCCUUCCUCUCUUUCCCUGUUCAAACCCUAACUAUCCCUCGCCUCUCCAAUAGCCGCUGCUGCCGUGGAGAUGGCCGGUGCCAAGCACUGCGCAACUCCGGCGGCCCUGUUCUAUCCCCAUGAGUGUGCUCUCGGGUCUCUACUUCUUCCUCUCCCCCUCUAAUUUCUAGUGUUUAUAUUGGAUCUACUCUCCUCCCCUAUUUUAAUUUUUGGUUACCUCUGAUGAUUCUACAGUGAUUGAAAAAUGUGUGGUUCAGCCCCUCCUUCAGAAACCCAAGUCUUCUCUUCUACUGCUGCUCUUCUGGAUCAAUGGUAACUCUGCUAGAACACCACUUGCUCCUUCUUCAGGUUGGUCUCUCUGCUGUCUCACUUCAGCAUCUUCUUGCUGCUUUGGUUUACAUGGUAAGAUAUGUGAAAAUCUUGAUUGAUAUCUGGAUCUGCUACUUCCCUUGCUUUUCCUGGUGUUGAUCCUCUUGCUUGAUUGCUGCUCCUUCUUGCUUCUCCUACUACUCCUCUGACCUCUCAUUCACUCACUCUAGCCUCUCCUGGCUGCACACACAAGGCUGCUACGGCUGUGGUGAAGCAUGGUUGAGAUGUUGAACUACUGAUCUACUAGCUGUGAUUAUUUCUCUUUCUCCCAAUCUCCACUGAUUUCCAGCCGAGGCUGCUUGCUGUUGCUGGGAUCUUACUACUACUAUGGCUGCUGUACUACUGGGAGUUGCUAGCUGUAGCUAGGUGUCUAUCGUUGCAACCAAGGCUGGCUCUACCAGACUGUGGAUAAUUCACAUUGUUAUGCUUUAUCUCAGUGCAUUUGGUGCUGGUGAUUCACCUGCUUGGACCACAUGGCUGCUGCUAGCUUUGAAACCUCACCAGGGCAUGUUCGGUGGAAUAAUUUUGAGAGGCUCACUAAUUUACAAUUUAAUGGAAAUCUGGUGAAAUUGGGAUACUUAGUAAUUUUGCAUUCCAGUCCAUAAGCUUUUGGAAUUUUGGAGGUUACUCCAGAGUUAAGGGACUGAUUAAUAAUUGCCCUAGAACUCAGGGAGUUGUAUGCAAAAAUGGAUAAUUUUGGAAGUUGGCUUGAGAUGGCUCAGUUUGUAGAUUUUUGUGUCCCUAAAUAGUUGGAUGCAAAAUUAUAAAUUGUAGCAACUCAAAAAUAUUCGUUUAUUGUUACUAUUUCGACUUUCUAGAAUGCAAACCUCCUAAAUUUAAAUUUGCGAUCAUAAAUCACACAAACAUUUUCUAAUACAUUUAAUUUUGUAUUUUAACUUGUAUGCAUGGCGUGUGAGUUUAUACAUUAAUGUUGUAUAUAAAUACAAUGUAUAAGAUGCAUAUGUACAAUAUCUAUAAUGGAUAUGUGUAUGCAUGGAUAUA